rnacentral:tRNA from 1 species
GCCUGGCUGGCUCAGUUGGUAGAGUGAGUGACUCUUGACCUCAGGGUUGUGAGUUCAAGCCCCACGUUGGGUG